rnacentral:lncRNA from 1 species
UGAGCCAACUGGCCAAUAACUCCAUUUUGGUCCUUCAAUCGCGGACCAAAAUGCUUAAGCGGGAGUUAACAUAGUACACUCAUCAGGCCCUUAUAAGCUAAUCAUACACAUUGCCCACUUCCGAUGUGGGACUAAUGGGAUGUUACAAUUACCCCCAACUCAAUUUGUCCUCGUCAAGGUCCAACAUAUCCCAGAUCGAACCCUAGCAUAGUGCAUGUGAGGUUUAACUCAGUGGUGGCUCCACGCCGUGAUGAGUUCUCUGACUCCAUCCAUGGGUAGCCCUUUCCUACUCGAGCCCUCUCACCCUGCCCAAAUGCCAGGUCGGCUCUGAUACCAAAUGUCACGACCCGAGUCUGAUGAGCCAACUGGCCAAUAACUCCAUUUUGGUCCUUCAAUCGCGGACCAAAAUGCUUAAGCGGGAGUUAACGUAGUACACUCAGCAGGCCCUUAUUGUUAGGAUCGAGAGCACUAAGAGGGAGGGGGUGAAUUAGUGCAGCGGAAAACUUUCUGCGAUUAAAAUCAAAACCUGCGUUCGACCGAUAAAAACAACUUCUGUAUGAAAGUUGAUACUAAUCAAUGUUAAUGUCAAACUAAGCAGGCAGUUUGCAGCUAUGAUGAAAACCAGAAUAUCGGUGCAAACUGAAAUCCGAAGUUCGUACGAAGAAACUGAUUUAUGUCUAAAUGCUGAUUUGUAAAUCACUUGAUUAGAUAAGAUGCAGUUUAAGCAGGAGUAUAAAGGCAGUGUGCAGAAUUGGUAAAGCUCAAAACGUAAAUGCAAUAUGCAAUAUGAUGAUCAUACGAAAAAGCAGAUUUACGUCUAAACGCAGAUUUACGUCUAAACGUUAAAACUUGUUUGUAAAAUCGCAGAGGGCAGUAACUAUUGAGAAGUUUGCAGUGAAGGUAAAAUGCUUAAAGGAAAUGCAAACCGAGAUUUAGAGUGGUUCGGUCAAUCUUGACCUACUCCACUUUUGGCUUCCUCCACCGAUGAGGUCACCGACGUUAACUAGAGGCCUUCCUUCAAUAGGCGAAGGCCAACCACCUUAUUACAGAUUCACUCCUUUUGAUGGGCUUAGGAGACAACCCUUACAGAAGUUUUCUCUCCUCUCUUUACAACUCAAACUUUGAAGAACAGAAAGAGGAGAACUAGCAGUUUUGAGCUCUAAGAACCACAGAAAGACAACAAGAUUUUGAGAACUUUUGUCGAGCUCUCAAACUCCCAACGUGAUCAUUGUCAUGACUCCGACGCAACUCCUGCUGCAUGUCUUACUUUCAUCGUAGUUAAUCCUGAACACUUAUCUCAACACACAGAUUAGACAAACAAUUGACAAUUGAUUUCAUCAUCAAAAUCCGAGAUUCAACACUUAUAAGCUAACGUAGUACACUCAUCAGGCCCUUAUAAGCUAAUCAUACACAUUGCUUCCUUCCUUCAAUCGCAGACCAAAAUGCUUAAGCAGGAGUUAACGUAAUACACUCAUCAGGCCCUUAUAAGCUAAUCAUACACAUUGCCCACUUCCGAUGUGGGACUAAUGGGAUGUUACAAUUACCCCCAACUCAAUUAGCUUGACGUCCUCGUCAAGGUCCAACAUAUCCCAGAUCGAACCCUAGUAUAGUGUAUGUGAGGUUUAACUCAGUGGUGGCUCCACGCCGUGAUGAGUUCUCUGACUCCAUCCACGGGUAGCCCUUUCCUACUCGAGCCCUCUCACCCUGCCCAAAUGCUAGGUCGGCUCUGAUACC